rnacentral:lncRNA from 1 species
CUCUUUUAUUUAUUACUUUAGUUUAUUAGUAAAUAUUUUGCUUAAGCUUAACUUAACUGCAUUGUUGGGUAAGGGCUUGAAUUUUGUCCUGUCUACAGUCAGCUCGAGGGUGGUACAUGUGAAUACACAGGGCGGCGUGAUGAAACCGCUACUACGAAAGCAUUGCAAGGCACUGCAUGCUGUGGCCUGUCACCCCCAGCAAGCAGUUGUUGCCUUGGGCAGCCACAGUGGCAUCCUGAAGGUGUGGGACUAUGAGCGCAAGGUGUCCAUCUGCAACAGGGUCUUUGAGAAGGAGAGGCAGAUUCAGUGCGUCGCCUAUGACCACCAAGUGAACAGGAUUAUACUUGGCUGUUGGAUUUGCAAUUGGAGCUGUCCAUGUACUGGAUGCUUGCACAUUGCAGAGUGAGGCAGAGGAGCGACUCAACUACAGCCAAGACUGCAUCACUCACAUUACCUUCUCUCCCGGCUCCCUCUACCUGGCCACAGCAGUGACCAGACACUAUGUGGAUCUGGCGUUGGGAUUGGAAAGUAACAGGUGGAGUAUGACCUGGAGAGCAGCAAUGAGAAUGAGCUGCUGAUCCUGAGCGCAUUGAGCAGAGCGCCGGGCCCAUCUGUAUGGCUUGGUGCAUACCCCUCACCACAGAGGAUUUCCUACUUACCGCCUCUGGACUCUACAAAAUGAAGCUUUUCAACAGCAUCACCAAGAUGUGCAGGUGGAUCUCGAGAUUCCGCCCAUUGAUGGGAAUCCCCAAGUCCUCUACUCUGAUUUGCCACCCCUCUGCUGGGGGUCUGAUUGAAGUCCUCUCAUGGGAGAUUAGUUUAAAGAAAUGGAGGACUUUUUCUAUUACUGUCAGCUGCGUAAACAAGGCAUUGACUCCAUGGAGAUCCGACAGGUGUCCACCCGAAUCCCACUAGCAAAGGUCCCCUUUAUCAUGAGGGCUCUGGACUUCUUCCCCAUUGAGCAAGAGCGGAAUACAUCACUGAGGACAAGCUGGCAGAAUUUUUCACCACACUGGUUGGACUGAAUCCAGAGGGGGAGAUCUGAGCUGGAAGCCGUUGAAUGUGAUGGUAUGUAUCACCAUGUUGCGCUCAGAGUAGUGUCUGAAAAUGUGAUAAUGAGACUGAGACUACACAGCUUUGAUAGUCCACCAUUAAAAGUGUGUGUGUGUGUGGGACAGAUUCAGAAGACAUGCUGGAUUGUGAGAUCCUGGAGGAGAG